rnacentral:rRNA from 1 species
AGUGAACGCUGGCGGCAGGCCUAAUACAUGCAAGUCGAACGGCAGCACAGCAGAGCUUGCUCUGUGGGUGGCGAGUGGGCGGACGGGUGAGGAGUACGUGGGAAUCUGCCCAGUCGUGGGGAUAACGUAGGGAAACUUACGCUAAUACCGCAUGCGCCCUUUCGGGGAAAGCCGGGGACCUUCGGGCCUGGCGCGAUUGGAUGAGCCCAGUCGGAUUAGCUAGUUGGCGGGGUAAAGGCCACCAAGGCGACGAUCCGUAGCUGGUCUGAGAGGAUGAUCAGCCACACUGGAACUGAGACACGGUCCAGACUCCUACGGGAGGCAGCAGUAGGGAAUAUUGGACAAUGGGCGCAAGCCUGAUCCAGCCAUGCCGCGUGAGUGAAGGAGG